AACGCACAUUGCGCCCGCCAGCACUCUGGCGGGCAUGCCUGUUCGAGCGUCAUUUCAGCCCUCGGGCCCCCGUCCCCGACCCCCGCGCGCCGGACGCGGCGCGGGGGGGGCGGGGUGGGCCCGGUGUUGGGGCGAUCCGCGGGUGCCGCCCGGCGCCCGCGGGCCCCGAAGGACAGUGGCGGGCACGCCCGGCCGCCGAGCGCAGCAAGGACCUAGAGACCCGUCGCUCAGGAGGCCGCGGCGCGCGCCGCCCGCACACGCGCAAAAGGUUGACCUCGGAUCAGGUAGGAGUACCCGCUGAACUUAA
rnacentral:misc_RNA from 1 species